CCAAGUAAUGAGGGGGGGGGACUACGAUAAGAAAAGAUUGCAUUGGAAGCAUUCUGCCUGAAGAUAUCAGAGUUGCAUCUAUGUGGUGCAUGGCUUAAGCAAGUUCACCCUUGAUCGUUGCUAAGCAAUGGCGAAAAAGGGGACAGAGAGAGAGAGAGAGAGAGAGAGAGAGAGAGAGAGAGAGAGAGAGAGAGAGCCCACAUGGGAGCAUAUAUGAAGAGAGACUUGGAAAUCACAAGAGUGACUACAAGAUUAAACAGAGAUGCUCCCCAGCACAGUCUGGUUUGCAACAUAUGCUAAGAUGCUCAAUACCUCCACCCUCCUUCCCAAACCACUGGCAGCCUCCACAUCCGCUGUCAGAAAGUGGUCUAGCUUCUCCAUCACAAGCAAACCCUGCAGGCAGAGAGAGCAGGCUGCUUCCUAGAGCGCUGGCUAACCACACACACGGGCCAGAACAGUUCGCAUCUGCCUCGGAUCCAAAAGGGGGGGAAAUCCUUUCUCCUAUCAGCAGAAACAGGGGUUGCUGCAGACGGAUGAUAAUUCCACCGUGCUAUUUCAUUGACAGCCAGCGGAGCCUGACAGACAGAAGGACCAAAGGGAAGAGAUUGCACUCGGAAAUCUUGGAGCCGCAAUGCACUGGCUGCUCAAUGGAACUCCUUCACACCUUACUUGAUUUAUACAAAUCCAGAAUGAACCAUGUCUCUUUGGGAUUAUGUUGUGUAGGAGGGAAUAAUACAAGAAGGCACACACGCACAAAAUGCACACGAAAUAAUUUUCUAGCUCUUUGGGGGAUGUGUGGAUAUCAUCAGAUUCAAAGCAAGACGGGGCCCUGCAGAGAUGCAUUGCGUGAGCCAGAGGAAGGAGCCACCUCGUGAAUCUUGCACCGUACCCAGCCGCUUGGAUGUGGCUUAAUUAUAGAGAGAAGAGUGUGGAAAUCCCAUGUGUGCGCCUGCCUGAAUUUCUUGCAAAAUGCUGAUAUUAAGCAGAUCGAGUCUUUGGAAUCACACCCAGGCCUGACAGCCAUUAAAGAGCAGGAAGGAAUUCUGUCAUCGCUCCCCACCUCAUUGAAUGUGGGGGUUUUAUUUUUAAAACAGCCUCCACACUGCUUAUUAUCUCCAAACCCAGAGGGGGGUGGGAGAUGAGAUUUGGAGAGAAGGAAAUUCCAAUAAUGAAAAGCCAAAUUCUAUUACGUGAGGUCAUUCCGAAGACAAAGCAAAAAGUGAAUUUUUUUUUAAAAAAAAACAGUUUUAUUUAGGUUUUUCCAUAUUCUAACGAACAGUCACAAUAAAAAAGUGAGGUAAGAAACAAAAACAGGAACAAAGGAAGUGUGGAGGGAAGUUGGAGGGGUUAAGGCAAUUAUUGAUCCUAAAUAAAUAGAGUAAAUUAUGCAAAUAAAUAUGAAAAUUCCAAAUCUUAGUAUGAGAA